ACCUGCGCUUCCAUUUCGCGAUCAGAAAGGCCACCGCAAAUCUGAAUGAUGCGGUCAGACAGCGUCGACUUACCGUGGUCGAUAUGAGCAAUGAUCGAAAAGUUACGUAUGUUCUUCAUAUAUUAAUUAUUUAUGCCUUACGAAUACCUGGAGGCCGCUGUACUGUGCCUGACGUUUUGUCGUUCGAAAACGCCGCAUUCUACACUACAUCACCACAACCAGGAAAUGCUCUUACAGUCAGGUUAGCGGGAACAACGGAUGGUGUCAGAAGCGGGUAGUAAAAACUCAUAAAGCCAGCGCAAUCACUGGCCUGAAUCUGCAGGUGAAGUAUCUACACGGACGAGGUCUGGUGGCAAUCCCACGCUUAAAAUAAUGGGCUGCCACGCCUCUCUGGCGGCAAGCUUAGGUGAUAAACCUCGCGCCAGCAAGAAGCCACCAACGCCGCCGAGUACGGCGCCGGAAAGUGCGGCAAGGUCGCUCUGGAACAGCAUCUGGAAAAUGCCAGCGACGAGGAACAACCCCACCAGCGGUGACAUAUACACCAGCAGCGCCGAGGUCAGCAGGCUGCCUUCGGCAAUGCCCAGCUCCACUUUUUGCCCAACGACAAGCGGGGCUUCGCUCGGCACGGUAAUCGUAUGGCUGGUCUGCGGGCCGAGCUUAUUCAAUACCCGGCUGCCACAGCCUGCCCGCGAUGCGCAGCUGCUGCAGGAGGCUUUCACGUCACAGCUUACCUGUGCGAUCCCCCCCUGCCAGGAGACGACCGUAGCCCACUCUUUAAUCAUUGCGCAGCCUUGAAUUUGAUACUGUCGGCAAUGCGU
rfam:Yokenella regensburgei ATCC 43003 genomic scaffold Scfld157, whole genome shotgun sequence.